CAGGCAAGAGCCACUCAGGCUAGCCAAGGAGACCGCCCACAAACCCAGCAGGACUGGCAUAGUGGCAUGCAUGCAACAACCGGAACUAGCGAGACCAUGUAGGCAAGUCAUCCUUGGCUACCAGAGGCAGGCUAGCUCUGGCCC
rfam:Zea mays cultivar B73 chromosome 2, whole genome shotgun sequence.